GGGGGGGGGGGGGGGGGGGGGGGGCGCGGGCGGGGCGGGGGGGGGGGCGGGGCGGGUGGGGGGUGGUCGAGGGGCGGACGGGUGAGUAACGCGGGAGGAACCUGCCCUUGACGUUGGGAUAACGUCAGGAAACUGGGGCUAAUACCGGAUAGGAGCUCCUGCUGCAUGGUGGGGGUUGGAAAGUUUCGGCGGUUGGGGAUGGACUCGCGGCUUAUCAGCUUGUUGGUGGGGUAGUGGCUUACCAAGGCUUUGACGGGUAGCCGGCCUGAGAGGGUGACCGGCCACAUUGGGACUGAGAUACGGCCCAGACUCCUACGGGAGGCAGCAGUGGGGAAUAUUGCACAAUGGGCGGAAGCCUGAUGCAGCAACGCCGCGUGCGGGAUGACGGCCUUCGGGUUGUAAACCGCUUUCGCCUGUGACGAAGCGUGAGUGACGGUAAUGGGUAAAGAAGCACCGGCUAACUACGUG
rnacentral:rRNA from 1 species